rnacentral:rRNA from 1 species
GGCUCAGAUUGAACGCUGGCGGCAGGCCUAACACAUGCAAGUCGAGCGGUAGAGAGAAGCUUGCUUCUCUUGAGAGCGGCGGACGGGUGAGUAAUGCCUAGGAAUCUGCCUGGUAGUGGGGGAUAACGUUCGGAAACGGACGCUAAUACCGCAUACGUCCUACGGGAGAAAGCAGGGGACCUUCGGGCCUUGCGCUAUCAGAUGAGCCUAGGUCGGAUUAGCUAGUUGGUGGGGUAAUGGCUCACCAAGGCGACGAUCCGUAACUGGUCUGAGAGGAUGAUCAGUCACACUGGAACUGAGACACGGUCCAGACUCCUACGGGAGGCAGCAGUGGGGAAUAUUGGACAAUGGGCGAAAGCCUGAUCCAGCCAUGCCGCGUGUGUGAAGAAGGUCUUCGGAUUGUAAAGCACUUUAAGUUGGGAGGAAGGGUUGUAGAUU